rnacentral:rRNA from 1 species
GGUGAAAGUCCCGUACACGUACCAUUACAUUAAGAUAGCAGUACCCUGAGUAGGGCGGGACACGAGGAAUCCUGUCUGAAUCUGCCGGGACCAUCCGGUAAGGCUAAAUACUCCUGAGAGACCGAUAGUGAACCAGUACCGUGAGGGAAAGGUGAAAAGCACCCCGAAUAGGGGAGUGAAAUAGAACCUGAAACCGUGUGCCUACAACAAGUUAGAGCCCGUUAAUGGGUGAUAGCGUGCCUUUUGUAGAAUGAACCGGCGAGUUACGAUUGCAUGCGAGGUUAAGUUGAAGAGACGGAGCCGUAGCGAAAGCGAGUCUGAAUAGGGCGACUAAGUAUGUUGAUGUAGACCCGAAACCAAGUGACCUACCCAUGACCAGGUUGAAGAUGCGGUAAAACGCAUUGGAGGACCGAACCCGUGUAUGUUAAAAAAUGCUGGGAUGAGUUGUGGGUAGCGGUGAAAUUCCAAACGAACUUGGAGAUAGCUGGUUCUCUCCGAAAUAGCUUUAGGGUUAGCCUCGGGGAUUAGGAUCGUGGAGGUAGAGCACUGUUUGGACUAGGGGCCCGUCUUGGGUUACUGAAUUCAGAUAAACUCCGAAUACCAUUGAUCUAUACCCGGGAGUCAGACGAUGAGUGAUAAGAUCCACCGUCGAAAGGGAAACAGCCCAGAUCACCAGUUAAGGUCCCAAAAUUCAUGCUAAGUGGAAAAGGAUGUGGAAAUGCAUAGACAACUAGGAUGUUGGCUUAGAAGCAGCCAUUCAUUCAAAGAGUGCGUAAUAGCUCACUAGUCGAGUGAUUCUGCGCCGAAAAUGUACCGGGGCUAAGCAUGAUACCGAAACUGUGGAUGCAUCGUAAGAUGUGUGGUAGGAGAGCGUUGUAAGAGCAUUGAAGCUGUACCGUGAGGAGCAGUGGAGUUCUUAGAAGUGAGAAUGCCGGUAUGAGUAACGAAAGACCAGUGAGAAUCUGGUCGGCCGCAAGACUAAGGUUUCCUGGGGAAGGCUCGUCCUCCCAGGGUUAGUCGGGGCCUAAGAUGAGACCGAGAGGUGUAAUCGAUGGAUAACAGGUUGAUAUUCCUGUACUAGUUUAUUUUGUUUGAACGAUGGAAGGACGCAGGAGGAUGAUGUGUGCGCGCUGAUGGAUAUGCGCGUCCAAGCAGUAAGUCUUGAUAUGAGUCAAAUGCUUAUAUCUUUAAGGACAAGCUGUGAUGGGGAGUGAAAUUUUAGUAACGAAGCACAAUAACUCACACUGCCAAGAAAAGUUCCUAGUUAGAAAUAAACUACCCGUACCGCAAACCGACACAGGUAGUCGAGGAGAGUAUCCUAAGGUCAGCGAGUGAACUCUCGUUAAGGAACUCGGCAAAAUGACCCCGUAACUUCGGGAGAAGGGGUGCUGGUGUAACAGCCAGCCGCAGUGAAUAGGCCCAAACAACUGUUUAUCAAAAACACAGGUCUAUGCUAAAUCGUAAGAUGACGUAUAUGGGCUGACGCCUGCCCGGUGCUGGAAGGUUAAGAGGAUCAGUUAGCUUUUGCGAAGCUGAGAAUUGAAGCCCCAGUAAACGGCGGCCGUAACUAUAACGGUCCUAAGGUAGCGAAAUUCCUUGUCGGGUAAGUUCCGACCCGCACGAAAGGCGUAAUGAUUUGGG